rnacentral:rRNA from 1 species
UACGUAUGGUGCAAGCGUUAUCCGGAUUUACUGGGCGUAAAGGGAGCGCAGGCGGCGCGCCAAGUCUGAUGUGAAACCCCGGGGCUCAACCCCGGGCAUGCAUUGGAAACUGGCGGGCUGGAGUGCCGGAGAGGUAAGCGGAAUUCCUAGUGUAGCGGUGAAAUGCGUAGAUAUUAGGAGGAACACCAGUGGCGAAGGCGGCUUACUGGACGGCAACCGACGCUGAGGUUCGAAAGCGUGGGGAGCAAACAGG